rnacentral:rRNA from 1 species
UACGUAGGGUGCGAGCGUUAUUCGGAUUCACUGGGCGUAAAGGGUGCGCAGGCGGCCAAGUGUGUGAGGCGUAAAAGCCCGGGGCUUAACCCCGGAAUUGCACCUCAAACUACAUGGCUAGAGCAUUGGAGAGGGUAGCAGAAUUCAUGGUGUAGCAGUGAAAUGCGUAGAUAUCAUGAGGAAUACCAGAGGCGAAGGCGGCUACCUGGACAAUUGCUGACGCUCAGGCACGAAAGCGUGGGGAGCAAAAGGG